GACAGCGUGUCCGAGUGGUUAAGGAAGGAGGUGGACUAGAAAUCCACUGGGCUCUGCCCGCGCAGGUUCGAAUCCUGCCGCUGUCG
rfam:Perkinsus marinus ATCC 50983 gcontig_1104296750772, whole genome shotgun sequence.